GGUCGUGUGGUUAUCCAGAGGCGAGCAGAGGGAAUGUAGAAAUGAUUAACAAGUCCCACCACGCUGAAUUGUUCUUCUUUCAGCACAUUAAGUUCUCUGAAGAGUGAACUCCUGGAGAGCAGAGACCCCCUGCAAGGAUGUAACAACCUCCCCGCCAGUUGAAGAGGCCCCUAGUUCUGCCGAUGCACCAGAGGCCCCCUGCCCCAAGGCUGUGCAUGGACCCACCCACAACCCGGCAAUACACCAACCAGAAACCAAUCCCCCAAGACUCAGCCAGAGCCCCGGCCCGGAGGCGGAGCACCCCCAGAACCACAAGACCGCCCCAGAUCCACCCCAGGGCAGCUAGGCUACCAGGCCAGUAACCCACGUCUGCCAGCACAGACCCUCCCCCAGCCCUGCUACACGCAGCCACCAGGAAAACAUCACCCGGGGGACACCAGAGUCCAAGUAACCCAAGUUUUUUAAUGUUAGUGGGGAAAUCAUAAACUCUUAAAGUCACCAUGUUU